ACGGGGUGCAGCAGGCGCGAAACCUCCGCAAUACACGAAAGUGUGACGGGGCCACCCAAAGUGUUCUCUUCAGAACUGUUGUAGGUGAGUAAUAUCCCCUAUUAGAAAGGAGAGGGCAAGGCUGGUGCCAGCCGCCGCGGUAAAACCAGCUCUUCAAGUGGUCGGGAUAAUUAUUUGGCUUAAAGUGUCCGUAGCCGGUUUAACAAGUUCCUGGUAAAAUCGGGUAGCUUAACUAUUCGUAUGCUAGGGAUACUGUUAUACUAGAGGGCGGGAGAGGUCUGAGGUACUACAGGGGUAGGGGUGAAAUCUUAUAAUCCCUGUAGGACCACCAGUGGCGAAGGCGUCAGACUGGAACGCGCCUGACGGUGGGGGACGAAAGCCAGGGGAGCGAACCGGAUUAGAUACCCGGGUAGUCCUGGCCGUAAACGAUGCAUACUAGGUGAUGGCACGGCCAUGAGCCGUGUCAGUGCCGUAGGGAAACCGUUAAGUGUGCCGCCUGGGAAGUACGGUCGCAAGGCUGAAACUUGAAGGAAUUGGCGGGGGAGCAC
rnacentral:rRNA from 1 species